rnacentral:lncRNA from 1 species
CCUCAGAGACUUUUAGGCAGCAUAUAUAAUCAGCAAGACACAUAUAUAUGACGUGCGUAUAUAUAUAUAAUAUAGUAUAUAUAUAUAUAUAUAUAUAUAUAUAAACUAUUCCUGUCAGCAUUACAUCUCUGAAUCUGUUUUUGCUGAAACCAGUAUCUGUUUAGGACAUCUCCACCUCAUCACCGCCACGUCAUCCUGCCAGGUCAGUGAUUAGGAAUAUAUUGUCUAAUUAGGAAUAAAUUAAUUAUUGUGUAUGGAAAAUAACAAACAACAAAAUAAUUUGAUUUUUAUUAGUAAGUCACAAUAUAUUAUCAAUUAUAAGUGAAUAUUAAAUUUCAAUUAAUAAAUUGCAUGAUUCAAUUUAAUUUUUAAGAUUUACUUAUAUCACGAUAAUGUUAAAUUUAAUUAAAUUUAGAGAAUUUUUUAUUUUAUUAUAAAAUAUAAUAUUUAUACAAUUUUCUUUUAGAGUAGUAUUCAUUUAGUUAUCAAUAAUUUUAAUAUCGAAUCUUUAAUAUAGUUUGAUUUUGUUAUAUAUUUUAUAAAAAAUAUAUAUAAAUUGCUAUAAAUUAAAAUUUAUAACCUAUAUUUUGAGUCUAGCAAUUUGAUUUGAUUCACAAUUCUUGAUUAAGAACUAAAUUUUCUACUUAUACUUCAAAUCUUGAUGAAGUAACUAUACUUAUCUAACUUUUCAAUAAAUAAUUCAAUGUUUAACUACUAAUAUCUUUAAGUGUGCUGACCAAUGACCAGAUCAAACAAUAUUUGGUCCAACUUAAUUUGGACCAUUCUAUUAGCUCCGGUCCAAUACCUUUUUUAAACUAAAAUUUGAACAUCUCUAGAUGUUGGGAUUUUUGUUUUUUUGGAAGUUAUUUAUUUGAAGCAUGAAGAUCUCAUUAGGGCAAAAAAGCACAAGCUGACAUUAAAAAUAAUAUAAAAUAUGCUAUUUUAUUUUAAACCCAUUCAAUUUCAUUUCUUGAUUUGAGUGUUACAUAUUUUUUUUGUUAAAUAAAACGAGUUAUACAAUUUUAAUUCAAGUCAUCAAUUCAACAAGAAGUUUUUUUGCCUUAUUAUAUGUAGUACUACCAUUAUCAAGCCACAAAAAAUGCAUUCUGUUUGUUAAUCAUCCAAAAAAGAAACCAAUCUUUUGUGCAAAAGAAAAUCAAAACAUCCACAGUAGAAAGGAAGAAAAGCUGUACCUCUCUUCUGUCCUUAUCAUCAUCAGUCAAAAUCAUCAUCCGUUACUGCCUCUGCCUCGCUUGCUUUUGGAUUUAGCAUUCUGCUUCGAGUUGUCUCCGUCGUCGUUGAUCAACAUUAUUAUCAUCACGCCAGCCAUUUCCCACAAAAAAGGAAGAAGACAAACCUAAACUCUCUCUCACUUUGUCGAUGAAGACUUUUAACGUCUUCCCGAAAACGACGACGUUUUGGAAGGAUUUAAUGCUCUUUGCAGAACGGCAACGUUUUGGGGAAAAAGAAGCUUCAGCUCGUCUUUUUUAAGCCCGGACGAAAGAAAAGAAAAGUAAAAAGUAAAAGAAAAGGAGAAGAGUGGGCUGGGUUGAAUUUUUGUACCAUCGUCUAUUUAUUCUUUCCCCUAUUUACUACUCUUUUUACCCAUUCUAGAUUUUUCUU